UGAGGAAUAUUGGUCAAUGGACGAGAGUCUGAACCAGCCAAGUAGCGUGAAGGAUGACUGCCCUAUGGGUUGUAAACUUCUUUUAUAUGGGAAUAAAACAGGGUAUGCAUACCCUCUUGUAUGUACCAUAUGAAUAAGGAUCGGCUAACUCCGUGCCAGCAGCCGCGGUAAUACGGAGGAUCCGAGCGUUAUCCGGAUUUAUUGGGUUUAAAGGGAGCGUAGGUGGAUUGUUAAGUCAGUUGUGAAAGUUUGCGGCUCAACCGUAAAAUUGCAGUCGAAACUGGCAGUCUUGAGUACAGUAGAGGUGGGCGGAAUUCGUGGUGUAGCGGUGAAAUGCUUAGAUAUCACGAAGAACUCCGAUUGCGAAGGCAGCUCACUGGACUGCAACUGACGCUGAUGCUCGAAAGUGUGGGUAUCAAACAGG
rnacentral:rRNA from 1 species